UGUCGGCUGGAUCGGUGGGCGGGCCAGCUGGACCACCACUUAACUAAUUCAAACAACAAGGUUACACGCAACCUCAAAUAUUAUUAAAAUUAGGGUUUCAAUCAUUUCGAUGGAAUUCACAUGAUGGCGUCGUUCUCUUCGUUCUCAGUGAGAAUUGCGUUACUUUUUCUGGUUUUCUGCUUGAUCGGCUUGCAAGCUGCGGAUGAUCUCCCUGAACAAACCCGCGGAGACGUUUGCAGCGGGGUUUCGGAUCCGGGUGGGUGCCCCAUAAACUGUUUCCGGGCGGAUCCGGUUUGCGGAGCCAAUGGAGUCAGUGCCGGCUUUGACCCAUGGCAACAUGGGCAAAUGCCAUGGGUCCAAAGGUCAUUAAAGUUAUUAAGACGGCACUGAAUGGAGUCACGUACUCGUGUGGUUGUCCCGACGCAGCGUGUCAUGGAGUUCGUGUAGUCAAAAGAGGAGCUUGCGGCGGCAGUUAAUGCUGGAAGUGAUUCAUAAAAAAAAAAGAGAUGUAUCGAUGCUCAGUAGAUCACUUGUUGAAUGGUUUCUUUUUUUUUUCUUUGUGUCUGUAUGUUCAUACGUUGUGUUUGUAUGUGUGUUGUUCUUUGUGUUUGUAUGUUCAAAUUUGAGAUGCUUUGUCUUAAUGGAUAUGCCUUUUUUGUUA